rnacentral:rRNA from 1 species
CGCGGCCUAUCAGCUUGUUGGUGAGGUAAUGGCUCACCAAGGCGUCGACGGGUAGCCGGCCUGAGAGGGUGACCGGCCACACUGGGACUGAGACACGGCCCAGACUCCUACGGGAGGCAGCAGUGGGGAAUAUUGCACAAUGGGCGGAAGCCUGAUGCAGCAACGCCGCGUGAGGGACGACGGCCUUCGGGUUGUAAACCUCUUUUAGCAAGGAAGAAGCGAAAGUGACGGUACUUGCAGAAAAAGCGCCGGCUAACUACGUGCCAGCAGCCGCGGUAAUACGUAGGGCGCAAGCGUUAUCCGGAAUUAUUGGGCGUAAAGAGCUCGUAGGCGGUUUGUCGCGUCUGCUGUGAAAUCUGGGGGCUCAACCCCCAGCCUGCAGUGGGUACGGGCAGACUAGAGUGCGGUAGGGGAGAUUGGAAUUCCUGGUGUAGCGGUGGAAUGCGCAGAUAUCAGGAGGAACACCGAUGACGAAGGCAGAUCUCUGGGCCGUAACUGACGCUGAGGAGCGAAAGGGUGGGGAGCAAACAGGCUUAGAUACCCUGGUAGUCCACCCCGUAAACGUUGGGAACUAGUUGUGGGGUCCAUUCCACGGAUUCCGUGACGCAGCUAACGCAUUAAGUUCCCCGCCUGGGGAGUACGG